rnacentral:rRNA from 1 species
CUUUUACAAUGAAGAGUUUGAUCCUGGCUCAGGAUGAACGCUAGCUACAGGCUUAACACAUGCAAGUCGAGGGGCAUCAGGAAGAAAGCUUGCUUUCUUUGCUGGCGACCGGCGCACGGGUGAGUAACACGUAUCCAACCUGCCCUUUACUCGGGGAUAGCCUUUCGAAAGAAAGAUUAAUACCCGAUAGCAUAAUGAUUCCGCAUGGUUUCAUUAUUAAAGGAUUCCGGUAAAGGAUGGGGAUGCGUUCCAUUAGGUUGUUGGUGAGGUAACGGCUCACCAAGCCUUCGAUGGAUAGGGGUUCUGAGAGGAAGGUCCCCCACAUUGGAACUGAGACACGGUCCAAACUCCUACGGGAGGCAGCAGUGAGGAAUAUUGGUCAAUGGGCGCUAGCCUGAACCAGCCAAGUAGCGUGAAGGAUGAAGGCUCUAUGGGUCGUAAACUUCUUUUAUAUAAGAAUAAAGUGCAGUAUGUAUACUGUUUUGUAUGUAUUAUAUGAAUAAGGAUCGGCUAACUCCGUGCCAGCAGCCGCGGUAAUACGGAGGAUCCGAGCGUUAUCCGGAUUUAUUGGGUUUAAAGGGAGCGUAGGUGGACUGGUAAGUCAGUUGUGAAAGUUUGCGGCUCAACCGUAAAAUUGCAGUUGAUACUGUCAGUCUUGAGUACAGUAGAGGUGGGCGGAAUUCGUGGUGUAGCGGUGAAAUGCUUAGAUAUCACGAAGAACUCCGAUUGCGAAGGCAGCUCACUGGACUGCAACUGACACUGAUGCUCGAAAGUGUGGGUAUCAAACAGGAUUAGAUACCCUGGUAGUCCACACAGUAAACGAUGAAUACUCGCUGUUUGCGAUAUACAGUAAGCGGCCAAGCGAAAGCAUUAAGUAUUCCACCUGGGGAGUACGCCGGCAACGGUGAAACUCAAAGGAAUUGACGGGGGCCCGCACAAGCGGAGGAACAUGUGGUUUAAUUCGAUGAUACGCGAGGAACCUUACCCGGGCUUAAAUUGCAGUGGAAUGAUGUGGAAACAUGUCAGUGAGCAAUCACCGCUGUGAAGGUGCUGCAUGGUUGUCGUCAGCUCGUGCCGUGAGGUGUCGGCUUAAGUGCCAUAACGAGCGCAACCCUUAUCUUCAGUUACUAACAGGUCAUGCUGAGGACUCUGGAGAGACUGCCGUCGUAAGAUGUGAGGAAGGUGGGGAUGACGUCAAAUCAGCACGGCCCUUACGUCCGGGGCUACACACGUGUUACAAUGGGGGGUACAGAAGGCAGCUAGCGGGUGACCGUAUGCUAAUCCCAAAAUCCUCUCUCAGUUCGGAUCGAAGUCUGCAACCCGACUUCGUGAAGCUGGAUUCGCUAGUAAUCGCGCAUCAGCCACGGCGCGGUGAAUACGUUCCCGGGCCUUGUACACACCGCCCGUCAAGCCAUGGGAGCCGGGGGUACCUGAAGUACGUAACCGCAAGGAUCGUCCUAGGGUAAAACUGGUGACUGGGGCUAAGUCGUAACAAGGUAGCCGUACCGGAAGGUGCGGCUGGAACACCUCCUUUCU